CGGAUCCUUCAAUUUAAGAUCAGAGUUAUUGAUCUUUAUAUAUGUAGUGAAUAGAAUUUUCUAUCAAAAAUUUAACCGAUUCCGAUUCUUUUACAUCGUUAAACUAGCAAAUAUUUCAUACCGGCCGUUAAAAAUUGUCAAUUUUGUGACAUUUUGAUCGUAAGGUAAUGAUGUUGAAAAAUUAUAAAAUUUGAUUUCUAGAUGUUUUAAAUGCUCUAGAUAACGUUUAACGGUAUGGAUCGUCGAUUCGGAAGCUCUAUCAUCGAAAACAACUUAUGAGUGCGAUGGUGAUCGUACUCAUAAGAGUAUAGUGGCCGGACAAUAUAUAUAUAGUCUGGCCGGGAUACUGUCGAUAGCACCAAGCGCUUGAUACUACCGAGUUUUCCACCAUUAGAUUUAACCCUUUAACUAUUUUUACUCGUUAGAUCAUACUAUUCAACCAACAACUUACUCAACUCCAGAGGGCCCACAUUAUCCUAACAGUAUAUUUCUUCAUUUAAGGGCCGAAAAUCUAAAGCACCGAUAGUUCGGUGCUAUUAGUAGUAUUCCAGCCUAGUUCUCUCUCUAUAUAUAGGGAGAGGAGAGGAGGGGAGGG
rnacentral:lncRNA from 1 species